CUUCGUCCUCUGGGCUCAGGUUACCUAAAGGACUGAGAACGUCGGGUCUUGGUCUUGAUCGAGGUGGUGAUCUUCCCAAUGGGAGCAUUCACUUUCUUCAAGGCCAGAGAUGAUAUCUUUGUUCUUUAACUGAUGAAUCCGGCUGGGCUGAGGUGUUGGGUUCAGGGGAGAGGUUACUAGCACUUGCACCCUGAUGCUCCUCACUUGCCUGAGUGAGGUCCUGAGGGUCUUUGUCCUUGGCCUCAGGGAAAGGUCCCGACCUUGGUUGGAAUACAGCUGUUUCGGGGUCCAAUGGAGGUGAUACCUUCUUGCAGUGCGAGGCGUGAGUCCACGUUUGGUGACCUUGGCAACGAACAGCAGAAUUAGUGGUGAGAAGUACCUGGAAAGGUCCCUUCCAUCUGGGUUGAAGUGCGUUUUUCCAUUGAUAGACCUUUAUGUAGAUCCAAUCCCCUGGUUCGAGGUUGUGACAGGGAACAUCCGGUGGUUGAGGUAAGGCUUCUUGGACCUGUGAAUGAACAGACCUGGCAUAGUUCAUUAAUGCCUUGCAAUAAUUUAGUACAGUUUCAUUAGUUAAUUGUAGGUCUGUUUGGUGUGGGGCAACAGGUGGUGUAGCUGGCAUCCUCACGGCUCGUGCCAUGAGUAUUUCAUAAGGGGUUAGGCCAUGUUUUCUGUUAACAGUGUUCCUAAUGUGCAUAAGAGCAAUGGGCAGUGCAUCAGGCCAUUUGAGGCCUGUUUCAGCACAAAUCUUUGAAAUGCGCGUUUUCAAAUCAGAGUUUUUACGUUCUAAACCACCACUUGAUUGUGGAUGAUAACUACAGUGUAGGUGUUGCUGUAUGUUGAGUGCUUGGCAGAUGUUUUUUACUAUCUGUCCUGUGAAAUGGGUGCCGCGGUCACUAUCUAUUGUGAGGGGCAAUCCAAAUCUAGGGAUGAAUUCUUUGAGCAAUUUCUCCACUCCAGUGAUGGAAUCAGCAUGUACGCGUGGGUAGGCUUCCACCCAUCCAGAGAACACAUCAAUAAUAACAAGAAUGUACUCAUAAGAACAGCACUUAGGUCGCUGCACGAAAUCAAUUUGCAGAUUUACAAACGGUCCCCAUGGAGGGGGAUGGGCUGCGGGUGUCGUUUUUACCCGUUGCCCAAUGUUGGGAUCUAAACAGAUGGGUCAGGAGCUACAGUACUGUUGUGCCAUGGAAGGAAAAUUUGGGGCAAACCAAUUUCUUUGUACUGUAGCAAUCAUUCCUCCUUUGCUCGUAUGGGCCACAGAGUGGGUUAAACGAGCAAGAUAUGGCAAAAGCUCUCUAGGCGCCACCAGGCGGCCGUCCGGGGAGCGCCAGAGAGAGUCGGGGUGCAGUGAACAUCCUGCGCGCAGCCAGCCAGCUAUCUCCUUUUUUGGGGCCUGAUUUUGAAGAAGGGCCAGACUUGAAAGGCUAGCCAAAGGAGACUGGUCUGCUGAAAAACAAACAAGAACACGGUUAGGAGCCUGUGGGCCAGAAAGGGCCGCAUUUCUGGCAGAACGGUCUGCCAGAUCAUUUCCUCGUGUGACAUCAUCAAAGGGUUUCUCAUGAGCUUUACGUUUAACAAUAGCAAUAGCAGAAGGCAAUUGAACAGCUUCUAAGAGCACUUUUACAUAACAACCAUGACUGAUUUGGGUCCCUGAUGAAGUGAGGAACCCUCUUUGUUUCCAGAUUUGUCCAAAAUCAUGAACAACACCAAAAGCAUACUUAGAGUCAGUAUAAAUGGUUGUGGUUUGAUUUUUUGCAAGAAUGCAAGCACGUGUUAAAGCAAUGAGUUCAGCAACUUGAGCAGAACGAGCUUGGGGUAAAGAAUAGGCUUCCAAAACAGCAUCCUGAGUGCAUACUGCAUAUCCCACAAGUAAUUUGCCUGCAUCAUUUCUAAGACAGGAACUAUCAACAAACAAAACAAGGUCAGAGUUGGGAUAGGAAUGUCCUUGAGGUCAGUUCGAGGGGUUAACAACUGAGUUGUGACAGACAGGCAAUCAUGAGGCUCACCAUCAGAGGCGAUUGAUUGGCAGAAGUGAUGCAGGAUUUAGAACUGAACAGUGAUUUAAGGUUACAUUUGUAGCUGACAGUAAAAGUUUCCCAUAUUUAGUAAGACGGGAAUGGAAAUGUGCUGAGUUUUGCCCUUGAGGAGAAGGGCCAUCACAGCAUGUGGAACUGCAACGGUUAAAGAGUGUCUCAAAACUAGAGAAUUUGCCUUUCCAACCAACAAGGCAGCAGCUGCAACUGAACGGAGACAAGGAGGAAGUCCCACAGCUACGGGAUCAAGGGCAGAGCUGUACAGAGCUGUAAUACGCAAUUGGGCGAUGCUUUUCACCAUGCAGCUGAGUUCAAGAGCGGUUUGUGGCUGAUGGAAAUGACAGACUCAAGCUGAUUGUGUUACUGUGUAGUGAGGAUGAUGAGAAGGUCCAAAAAGCAGCUGCAGGAGCUUUGGCCAUGCUGACAGCAGCACGGAAGAAACUCUGCUAUAAAAUGACUCAAGUGACAAUCCAGUGGCUGGAAAUCCUGCAGAGGCUCUGCUUGCAUGACAAUGUGGAUGUUCAGCACCGUGGGCUGGUUGUUGCUUACAACCUAAUCAGCGCUGACAAAGAACUCGCCAAAAAGUUGGUAGAGAGUGAGCUCCUGGAGAUCCUGACAGUUGCUGGCAAACAAAAAGAUGACCCCAAAAUACAGCAUGCUCUUGACGCAGCUCGUGAGUGCCUUGUGAAGUGCAUGGACUAUGGGCUGAUCAAACCGCUGUCACGGGCAUGAGGACAUCAUUGUCUAUUGAGAAAUGGCAAGGAGGCCACCAGGAGGUCUGGAAGUCUUCCAGAUCUGCAUAAGGACACUCAGUCCCAUGGCCAAGGCUUUACUGAGCACUGGCUUUGUGUGUUUUGUCCUGAAAGAAGGUAAAACUUAAUGAUAUCUAGAUACUGCAAAUACCUUCAGUGCCAGGAUGCAGAAAAUUUCCGCUGAAAGAAGCAAUACGGAAAGCACAUUGAACAGCUGCUGCUUCAGGAAGUCUCAAAAAGGAUAAAGAGAAUGAGUGGACUUUUUUCAAAAAUGAAAAUUCUUUAUUUCAGCAAUUCCUAGCAGUGGAAGAACAAGCACAAGGUUUUAUUUCCUCACAUCAGAUGUUCAGAAACUAGUUCAGAUUUGUUAUUUAAAAAUGAUUGUUUCUUCUUUUUAAUUGGAAUGCAGUCAUUUAGCGUGUGAGAGCACUGGGUGGAUUCAUAAUAAACAGCAUCUUUGCUCUGUG